UACAGAGGGGGCAAGCGUUGUUCGGAAUUACUGGGCGUAAAGGGCGCGUAGGCGGCCUGUUAAGUCGAACGUGAAAUCCCCGGGCUCAACCCGGGAACUGCGUCCGAUACUGGCAGGCUUGAAUCCGGGAGAGGGAUGCGGAAUUCCAGGUGUAGCGGUGAAAUGCGUAGAUAUCUGGAGGAACACCGGUGGCGAAGGCGGCAUCCUGGACCGGCAUUGACGCUGAGACGCGAAAGCCAGGGGAGCAAACGGG
rnacentral:rRNA from 1 species